AAAUUUUUGGUAUCGCGACAUCCCUAUUCCAUAGUCACCAUAUAAUGCACUAAUCCAGUGUAUAACCAAUGCUCACUACUUCUGCACUAAGCAGCAAAUCAAAUUGCAUAGCAUUCAUUUCAGCAGAAGAGACCAUUCCUAUCAGAGAAGAACUGCUUCAUCAUAGAAUAAAGGUGAUCAGUGUGAUAGUGUGUUGAUUUGCAGUAACCCCUCCCUGUAAGGGAAGACGUGGACCAAUCCAGCAAAAUGCCCAGUCAACAUUUUAUCCUUUGUCACCUUUCUUUAGUUUCUGAUGGUAAUUAUAAUCAGUGUUUUCUUAGGAGUAGUCUGUCUGUGAGCAGUUGUCUAAGGAGCGCUUAAUGUAGAAGCUGAAAUAGGUUACUUACUUGAUUAACUUCCCAUCCUUUUGAUUAAAUCAGCAGAUGUUUCAAUAAUUAACUUUGCUGAAGAUGAAACUUAAAUGAUAUUAAUAAAAGGCAGUCAGCCCAGGUUGGGAAAUGGCUGAACCAACAGGUGAUGGUGAUGAUGGUGGCACAGACCCACUGAGUUCUUUGCAGCUUUGUCAAACAACCAUAUAAAAACACAUUAAACAUAUGUACUGUCUUUUGAUAGGCAAACCUUUCCAACUUUCACAAACCUAUGUUAACCAAUUUAAAGAAAUUUAAAGUUCCUCUUCCAAAACAUUCCUGUUCUUACGAUAGUGAAAAUAUGCAAUCAUGUUUUUGUAAAUUCAUGAGUAUGUCAAUUCAAUAUUUAUUAUUCUAAUAGUGCUUCUGAAAAUGUUUCACAAAUCAUAUAAUACAGUUAAUGUGCAGUUUCGAUCAGAUGCUAUCAAAUUGUAGAGCAUUUUGAUUACAGUGAGAAAGGUAUUCAAUGAAAGCGUGCUGCUAAGCUGAGCCGUGAGGCACAAACUAAGCAAAAGGAUAGAGCUGCGUAGGCCUGUAUGUUAUCAACUUAUCUUAAGAGAUAUGGACAUGACCUUGAUCAUUUUUGCUGACCCCCAUAAUGACCAUUGUCUUUACACACGUGUUUGUGUACAUAAGAAUGAAUAUCACCAUGAGAACCCAGCAAACACAGAAUGUUCCCAUAACGUUAGCAUAUGGUUCCCAUUUGUUUUGGGGUUUUUUGAGAAACUCUCUGUAGGUUCUUUUUUUUUUUUGCAACCAAAAACUAACAUUUCCAGAACGUUGUGGGGAGGUUUUUUUUUUUGUGACAACCUAAAGAGAACCUAUGCAGAACUUUCUCUAAUGUUUAUUUAUUUCCUUCAAGCACUGGAAUCAGAGCGCUCCAUCAGCUAAUCUGUUUUUUUGUUUGUUUUUUUUUAUUCAACUCGCUUAACCAUUUCUUUCUACCACAUCUUGUAACGGCAGGUGUAUAGACAGUGUGUUUUAAUCGUCCUCAUCCACUUACGCUUCGAUGGUAAGUACCUAUUCAACACUUUAACUAACGUCUCAAAGGACUGUGUGUUACUGUCACUUAUCAUCUCUUUGACCAACAUUAGGAAGCUAGUUAGCUACAACACACUAGUUCAUUUAAUAGCUAGUUACCUAGGCUAAGCACAUAUUGAAUGGUAGCUAGCUAGUUGGCUAAUUAGUUAGGUUUCACACAUUAUUUCACAGUUGCACAGUUUAGGGAAGCAAAAUAUAGCAGCUUACACGUAAAACCUAUAAUGUUUGGUCAUGGCACACAGCCACAGUCAUUAAUUGUUGUAAAUAAAACUAAUGCUACGUGCCGUAGAAGUGGCAGCUGGGAAAUGCAUAGAGACUUCAACACGGAGCUCUGACUUGAAUGGAGUGCAGAAAAGCACUAACGUUAAUCAGUGAAGCACAUUUUUAAAAUGAGCAUUUUUGUUUUAACUACAGAGUUUGCCAGAGGUAGUGGUUUCUGACCAAAAAGAAGCCCAGCCUGCCUGUCGCUGACCAGAAGAACAGUUAGUAUGACGGUGGUGGAAGGAGUGAACCUGUUUGUUCAAGUGGAGAAAAAUUAAACAUUGAUCCGUUCAUGGCUUUGUUACUUUACGUAAACAAUGGCUCAAGAAAAACAUGGAUUGUGUGCCGAUUUAUUUAUUUAUAUAGACUGAUUUGUUUUAUUUAUGAUUAAUGAUGCAUGAAUAUUAAAAAUAAAUGAUGAAAACUGA